GAUGAAGAACGUAGCGAAAUGCGAUACUUGGUGUGAAUUGCAGAAUCCCGUGAACCAUCGAGUCUUUGAACGCAAGUUGCGCCCGAAGCCAUUAGGCCGAGGGCACGCCUGCCUGGGUGUCACACAUCGUUGCCCCCCCAUCUACUCCUUCGGGAUUGCGGGGGGCGGAUGAUGGCCUCCCGUGCGCCUCGUCGCGCGGUUGGCAUAAAUGCCAAGUCCUCGGCGACGCACGCCACGACAAUCGGUGGUUGCGAAACCUCGGUUGCCCGUCGUGUGCGGUCGUCGCGCAUCGAGGGCUCGAAAAAAUUGCCGGGCUCCGGCUCGGCUUUCAACGCGACCCCAGGUCAGGCGGGGUUACCCGCUGAAUUUAAGCAUAUCAAUAAGCGGAGGA
rnacentral:misc_RNA from 1 species